AUAACUAUAAAUAUUUUACAAAAUACAUUGCAAAAUUUAUUGAAAAAAAAAAAACAUGAUUAAAAAAGCACUAUAUUCUGAAAUCAAUUAGUUGAGUCAUUUGUGGCCUUUCUUUCUAUAUUAUAAUAUAUCAUAAUAAUAUUAUAUCAUAAUAGUUUUUUGUAGUUUUGGUUAUGAAAAUUUUACUUUUAUUUUUUUUCCAAUAUAUUAAUAUGUACUAGAUGUGUGUAUGAGCAUGUAGGUAUACAUACAUACAUAUAAAAGAAUAUUUUCUUAGAAGUAUUACACAAUAAAAUAAAUUGUUGAUUAUAUUUUGUAAUAGAUAAAUAAUUAAUCACUAUUUUUAUAAAAUCAAAAUCAAAAAAAUCAAAAAAUACCAAUUUUUUAAAGUAUUAAGUAAAAUAAAAUUACGAUAUUUGUUGUAAAUGUUAGGAGAUAUUUUUACUUGAUGGAAAAAUGAGAGAUCAUGACUUUUGAAUUCUUUCAUUGACUGAAAUCUAUAGAUUUUUCAAUUUCAACCUAUCAAAACAUUUAAAAGGUUUGACCUCUCACAUUAUCUCCUAUAUAGAAUCCACUUAUUUUUUGCAGAAUAUGAGGUAAUGUUGUAUUUAUUUCAGUGAGUGUACUCUGUUCAAAAUCUAAGAAUUUGUUAUUAAAACAUCAACUUCACAUUCAUUUCACCUAAUACCCUUCUAAUAUUUUGUCAUUUUAAUUUCUCAUUUGCAAUAGGCUAAUUGAACAGGACCAAGUGAACAUCUUAUUUCAGAAACCAAAAUCACCAUCAAACAUUGCAAAACACAAGUUUAAAAUACUAAAAAGUGAAACAUGAAGAUUUUUAUAAGACAUUCAACUCAUUUGCAAGAUUUGUAUUCCCUUUUCUAGUGGCUCAAGCUUGAACCACCCCUUUGGCACAUGGGCACAACAAUACGACCAAACCCUAAAACAGCCACUCUUGGGGAGCGGGAGUUUGGCACCAAUAUAUAAUUAUUAUUAUUAUUAUUAUGAUUAUAAUUCUCUCUUCCUCCAAAGGGGAAGGUUCCAAAUGAAACCCACCAUCUCAAAGUCAGACCAUGCCAAGUCAGCAACACAACUCCGUCUUUAUCUUUUUCUCCUCAUUUUCUUUAUUUUUUAUUUUUUAUUUUUUUUAUUCCUUUCCUUUCCUUUCCUUUCCUUAGACAGAAAGUGUGUUAUUGGGUCUGAGUCCCAAUUUGAUAGAUGCAAAACUGACAUAAUAAAUGAUCUGAAUGGAAAAUAUGAUAUAUAUCUUGUUGUGAAUAAAAAAAUUGAUUGAAUGAUUUAGAAACGGUUUAAAUAUUCUUGCACUUAAAAAGGGUCUCAUCAAUUUUAAUUAGAACAUAGAAUCUAGAGUUUGAAUCAUACAUUUUUUAAUUUAUAUUGAAAAAAUUCACAUAUUAAAAAGUAUCAAACAAUAAUAAAACUAAAGAAAUUGGAAGUGAAAAUAUCGAGAUAUAUUUUUUUAAAUAAAUCACCGUCCAAUAUUGAAUGUACUAGUCCAAUAUAUGUGAAUUUUAGGAAAAAUCCAACAAGGCUCUCUCGAUUGUAAAUACUUUUGUAAUGUUGUGGAAACAUUUUCUCCAAAGUACAAACUUUCCAUUAAAUAAUUGAAUACACCAGUAACUGUGAUGACAACAAUGUACAGUCCUACCCAUAAACUGGAUUGAGUUUUAGAAGGUAAUUUGCAAGAAACACUUUAUUUGAUUAGAGUCCUAAAAUUUGGUUCUAAAAUGCACAAGUCCUUUCAAUUAAGAAUCGAGAAGUAAAUUUUUGUAUUCCAACCAAAUAAACGUUUGGAAUUAAAGACUUCCAAAACUUUGGAUUAAUAAGAUCUUAGUCUUCUGGAAUGAUCUAUAUAGCCAAAUACAGUACUACUAAAACCC
rnacentral:lncRNA from 1 species